rnacentral:rRNA from 1 species
AGGACGAACGCUGGCGGCGUGCUUAACACAUGCAAGUCGAGCGGAAAGGCCCUUCGGGGUACUCGAGCGGCGAACGGGUGAGUAACACGUGAGCAACCUGCCCUUAGCUUCGGGAUAGCUCCGGGAAACCGGAAUUAAUACCGAAUAUGACUUUGGCUGACAUCAGCAGAAGUGGAAAGUUUUUCGGCUAGGGAUGGACUCGCGGCCUAUCAGCUAGUUGGUGAGGUAACGGCCCACCAAGGCGACGACGGGUAGUCGGCCUGAGAGGGCGACCGGCCACACUGGGACUGAGACACGGCCCAGACUCCUACGGGAGGCAGCAGUGGGGAAUAUUGCGCAAUGGGCGAAAGCCUGACGCAGCGACGCCGCGUGGGGGAUGAAUGCCUUCGGGUUGUAAACCUCUUUCAGCAGGGACGAAGCGAAGUGACGGUACCUACAGAAGAAGCACCGGCCAACUACGCGCCAGCAGCCGC